rnacentral:rRNA from 1 species
CCUACGGGUGGCAGCAGUGGGGGAUAUUGCACAAUGGGGGAAAGCCUGAUGCAGCGACGCCGCGUGUGGGAAGACGGUCCUCUGGAUUGUAAACCACUGUCCCCAGGGACGAAGAUGACGGUACCUGGGGCGGAAGCUCCGGCUAACCACGUGCCAGCAGCCGCGGUAAUAUGCAGGUAGCGAGCGUUGUCCGGAUUUACUGGGUGUAACGGGAGCGUAGGCGGGACUGCAAGUUGGGGGUCAAAUCUACCGGCUCAACCGGUAGCCGCACUCAAAACUGCAGUUCUUGAGUGGAGUAGAGGCAGGCGGAAUGCCUGGUGUAGCGGUGAAAUGCGUAGAUAGCAGGAGGAACACCGGUGGCGAAGGCAGCCUGCUGGGC